rnacentral:rRNA from 1 species
AUUGAACGCUGGCGGCAUGCCUUACACAUGCAAGUCGAACGGCAGCACGGGAGCAAUCCUGGUGGCGAGUGGCGAACGGGUGAGUAAUAUAUCGGAACGUGCCCAGUAGUGGGGGAUAGCCCGGCGAAAGCCGGAUUAAUACCGCAUGAGACCUGAGGGUGAAAGCGGGGGAUCGCAAGACCUCGCGCUAUUGGAGCGGCCGAUAUCAGAUUAGCUAGUUGGUGGGGUAAAGGCCUACCAAGGCAACGAUCUGUAGUUGGUCUGAGAGGACGACCAGCCACACUGGGACUGAGACACGGCCCAGACUCCUACGGGAGGCAGCAGUGGGGAAUUUUGGACAAUGGGCGCAAGCCUGAUCCAGCAAUGCCGCGUGCAGGAAGAAGGCCUUCGGGUUGUAAACUGCUUUUGUCAGGGAAGAAAUCCCUUGGGAUAAUACCCCGGGGGGAUGACGGUACCUGAAGAAUAAGCACCGGCUAACUACGUGCCAGCCGCCGCCGUAACAC